GCGCUAGUGGUUUAGUGGUAAAAUUCGUCGUUGCCAUCGACGAGCCGGGGGUUCGAUUCCCUCCUAGGUACU
rnacentral:tRNA from 1 species